AUCAAACACCACAUAUUCACAGAGGCCAGAAAGCUCAGACGCUAAGCUCCCCAUCCAGGGCGUGAGGUUCAAGGUGGAAGCGGGAAACGUGUGCCCAACAGCAUGACGCCUGCCACGACAGAAGUGGCAGCAAUGGGUGUUACCAGAGUCUGGAGAAGGACGUCCAGAUGUGGGGAGCCCAGAGAAGCUCCAAAGAACAAACGAUGGGCUAGCCGAUCUUGAGGAGACACAGAGGCCGGAACAGCAAACACAAAGGCACUGUGGUACGAGCGUGGUCUUCACUUGCUACCAUCUGAUACCGGGGUUUUCUAUAAAGGAGGAGCCAGGCUGGGCUUCUGUUUUCCCACAACCCCUGGCCCAGGCCCUGGCAGGGAGCACCCAGCAAGAGCUCAGCACAGAAGGGACUGGGCAAUCAUCUGCUCUAACUUGGCAUGCAGAGCAGAAAGCUCUCCUUCCUAGUCUUACCAAGUGCCUGAAUGCCUCCAGGGAUGGGCUCCUUGUUCCCUGCUGCCAGUGGACUGGUGCCUACGACUCCAGGAAGACUGAGCUCCGUGGGGCAGUUUCUCUGGAGCCAAGGAGUUCAGAGUUCAUGAAUAAAUGAAGAGGGAGGAAGCGGGAAGGGAUGUUUAUCGAUCCACAAAUCUCUACGUGCCAGUGUCUGCCCCACAAAUGCGUGGGUAUGCAGCCGUGUGCAGUUUUGAAUACAUACGUACAAACACACACACACAUGCACACUAUAGCCCCAAAGCUCUCUCUCCGAAGGACUGGCAGGGGGUAGAAGGAAGGUAACAAGAAGUCUCUCGGGGCGCCUGGGUGGC